rnacentral:lncRNA from 1 species
UUUGUCCGUUUUACCCCAAACGGACGGAGCCGGACAGGAUAGGGUCGCGCGGUGGAGUUGGCCUAACAGUUUGCUUUGGACACUAGCACAGAACAUGGAUCAAAGGCUUUAUGCAGUCCACACCAGGAGAUGCUAAAUAAAUCAGCUAAAACAUGGCAAGGAGACCUGGUUCGAUAAUACGGGCAGCAAAUGAAACAUGUGCAUCAUAAAAUAGAAAUAGUUGCCACAAAUAUUGCAAAGCCGACUACAUAAACCAUCACUGCGAUGAAGAUUGUAACUAGAGGAAGUUUGGCUCAAACGGCCUGCUCUUCUUAGUGCCACACGCAUUGCGACGAUGUCCAACCACCCCACAGUUCGUGCAUUUCGGCAAUUUCCUUGGAGCCUUCGGCAAAUCACCUCUUUGGGGGCGGGUUGUACACCUGUGGCCCUCCGAUAUGCACCAGCUUUGUACAUAGGUUCGCCAAAUUGAUCAAAAUCACCCAGGUGUAAACCUUACUUGCAUAUGCCUCUCAAUUGGCAGGUAGCUCUCAAAGUCUCAAUGAAACCCUACUUUGCAAAAAAAAUGUUCAACACCAAAUCAGAAUGAAACCCCACUCACGCUCGAUAGCUAUUUUUUCAAUCCUUUUACCCUAGCAGAUAAAUUCCAGUUACGUUAAGAAUUCAGGGCAAAAAAAAUAUUCUAUAAGAGUAACACAAAAACAGGAAAUUUUAGUCAGAUUCGUAAUUCAAGCCCAAAUUAAUAGCACAACCAUCAAGUCUUUGUUAAUUACUUAAGAGCUGAUUUGUUGUUAAAUGUUUCGAUCUGCUUCAGUAUCGCAGUUAAAGAACAUAAUGCACCACUGCCAACAAAUUUCAGUAAACUAACCGAUGGGUCGAUAAAGAUAAAAACAACUAAAUCUAUACGUAAUGUAGACUAACAGAUACGCAUGACCACGGGUGUAUCACUGAUUGCAGAAAAUAAUGGUUUUGGAUUCAUGGCACAGCAUUUGGGUUUGAUUAUAAUUUAUAAAUAAACCAAAAGAAAUUGCCCGAACCCUAAAACCUGAUGUGUGUUCAUCCAGUGCACAUGAGUAUGGUAACCAGCAGAACAAAGAUAAACAUCAUGAACCCUAAAUCAACUGAAAUUAUCCUGUCCCGGAUUCUUUCUGAAAUCUGAUUUGAGCGGUUGAUGCAUGUGUUUGGUCUGAACUCUAAAUUAUCCUAAAUUCAGUGAGACAUAGUUAUAGUCUGAACCCUAAAUUAUUUUAAAUUUAGUGACACAUAGUUCAUCAGGAUUUCACAAUCCAGGACCAAAAAAUCCUAUACUAUACCACCAAAAGUCUGGUGCACACUAAAACAAAUUUAGUGGUCAAUCCUAUACUACACCAUUUCAAAAUCCAUAUGAAACAGCAACAGUUGUCAAUAGGCCAGCUUGUAAACGGUUCAUCUUUACACUAUCUCAAUUUGAACGGUUCAUUAAGAAUAAUCACUAAUGAAGGUUUAAUAGCACAUGCAGUGCAAAAAGUUGAAACUGUAUGAAUUAGCACCCCAAAGAACACAUGUUGGAAAAAAUUAAGCCGAUCUGGCAAAUACGCAUGGGCAUGAAUAACAUUUUCCCCUCAUGAUUAUCCUCCACAUACAUCAUCUAAAAAACAUCACAGGAAAUUCGGAUCUGCAAAAGAAAAUUGCAUACGUACAGACUAUCAGAGAGCACUCUAUUCUGGGUUCAUCAACACAAAUGAUAUACAUCUCGAUCCAUCCAUGCAGCCAAAUCAGCCAUGCCAAAGCAAUAGAAGGAACAAGACUAGAAUCGCCAAAAACGUGCAACUCUAGAACAGAUGAACACCAGGUAGGAGAAAAAGCAUAAGUACAGAACGUGUGAUCCAGCCUCACCGAAACAAUGGAGAAAAUGAUUUUUCCCAGCCAGAUCCGUGGACGAGGAGGCCCUUACCCUGAGCAGAUCCGGUGUUCCGCAAACUCGAGGUGAUUCGGCUGCCGGAGUGGAAGAUGAAGCUGGAUCCGGGUGGUUUGGCCGCCAGCGUGGAAGAGGACGAGCGCUCCGGCCGUCGCUUCGGUCGGGGAGCGCGUUUGCCGACGAUAACCACCGCACAGACGAGAAGAGAGGGAGGGGGGAGGGCUAGGCGACUGGAUAGGAAUGAGGGCGAGGGAAAGAGAGCGCGUCACCGGAACAGGAGCUCUGGUCUGGUCCACACGGUAAGGCAGGAGGAUGGGUUGGCAUGGAAUUCCUUCACCUGUGCCGUUUCGAACCAGCACCCAUGGGCCAGUCUUUCUGGGCGCACGCGAACAGGCA